rnacentral:rRNA from 1 species
GACGAACGCUGGCGGCGUGCUUAACACAUGCAAGUCGAACGGAAAGGCCCUGCUUUUGUGGGGUGCUCGAGUGGCGAACGGGUGAGUAACACGUGAGUAACCUGCCCUUGACUUUGGGAUAACUUCAGGAAACUGGGGCUAAUACCGGAUAGGAGCUCCUGCUGCAUGGUGGGGGUGGGAAAGUUUCGGCGGUUGGGGAUGGACUCGCGGCCUAUCAGCUUGGUGGUGGGGUAGUGGCUUACCAAGGCCAUGACAGGUAGCCGGGCUGAGCGGGUGAGCGGACCAGCUGGGCCGGAAAUGAGGCCCGGCCUCGUCCGCUACGGAAGGCAGGAGAAGAGAGUAUUAUGGGAGGGAGGCAAGUGUAGCAACGCCGUGUGGGGGGUGUGAGGCAGCGGUUUGUGUUGCACAGCCGCCUGUGACGAGACGUGAAUGACAGUAAUGGGUAAAGAAGCACCGGCUAACUCCGUG